CCUACGGGAGGCAGCAGUGGGGAAUUUUGGACAAUGGGCGAAAGCCUGAUCCAGCCAUUCCGCGUGCAGGAUGAAGGCCCUCGGGUUGUAAACUGCUUUUGUACAGAACGAAAAGGUUUCUAUUAAUACUAGGAGCUCAUGACGGUACUGUAAGAAUAAGCACCGGCUAACUACGUGCCAGCAGCCGCGGUAAUACGUAGGGUGCAAGCGUUAAUCGGAAUUACUGGGCGUAAAGCGUGCGCAGGCGGUUAUAUAAGUCAGAUGUGAAAUCCCCGGGCUCAACCUGGGAACUGCAUUUGAGACUGUAUAGCUAGAGUACGGUAGAGGGGGAUGGAAUUCCGCGUGUAGCAGUGAAAUGCGUAGAUAUGCGGAGGAACACCGAUGGCGAAGGCAAUCCCCUGGACCUGUACUGACGCUCAUGCACGAAAGCGUGGGGAGCAAACAGGAUUAGAUACCCUGGUAGUCCACGCCCUAAACGAUGUCAACUGGUUGUUGGGUCUUAACUGACUCAGUAACGAAGCUAACGCGUGAAGUUGACCGCCUGGGGAGUAACGGCCGCGAAGGUUGAAACUUCAAAUGAAUUGAGG
rnacentral:rRNA from 1 species